GACGAACGCUGGCGGCGUGCUUAACACAUGCAAGUCGAACGCUGAAGCACUCAGCUUGCUGGGUGUGGAUGAGUGGCGAACGGGUGAGUAACACGUGAGUAACCUGCCCCUGACUUCGGGAUAAGCCUGGGAAACUGGGUCUAAUACCGGAUAUGACUACUGGCCGCAUGGUCUGGUGGUGGAAAGGGUUUUACUGGUUGGGGAUGGACUCGCGGCCUAUCAGUUUGUUGGUGGGGUAGUGGCCUACCAAGACGACGACGGGUAGCCGGCCUGAGAGGGCGACCGGCCACACUGGGACUGAGACACGGCCCAGACUCCUACGGGAGGCAGCAGUGGGGAAGAUUGCACAAUGGGGGGAACCCUGAUGCAGCGACGCCGCGUGCGGGAUGACGGCCUUCGGGUUGUAAACCGCUUUCAGUAGGGAAGAAGCGAAAGUGACGGUACCUGCAGAAGAAGUACCGGCUAACUACGUGCCAGCAGCCGCAGUAAUAC
rnacentral:rRNA from 1 species